rnacentral:lncRNA from 1 species
AAGAACAAAGGAAGAAAAGGGAAGAACAAAACCCUAGGUGGAAAAAUUCAAGAAAAAAGUGUGAAAAUUCAAGGAAACAAGUGAAAAAAGGUAAGAUUUUUUCAAUUAAGCUUGAGAUCUCUCUUUCUUAACAUUUUUUCUUAUUUUUCAUGGUUAAAUCACAUGAAAUCAUGAUGAAUCCCUUGCUGGCCGAACACUUAGAGGGAGGUUUUGAUGCUUGAUUUGGUUAGAUUUUAAUGUAUUUUAGUGUUUUUAGUUAGUUAGUGAUGUGUAGCAUGAAAAGCCAACAAGAAAAAUUCACUUCCUCCCAUCACCCAUCAUUGGUCGAAUUCUCCAUGUGGAAUAUUGAUGAUAAUUUUGAUUUUAUUUCAAGUGAUUUGGUUAGGAGUUAGUGAUUUAUGGUGGGAGAAUCAAGCUUGAAAAAUUAUAGUGUUGAUGCACCCACCAUGGCCGAAUUUUCUAAGAGAAAAUAUGAAAAUGAUUUUGCUAAAUUUUAUGCUAUUUGACUUGUGUUUGAUGGUUUGGAGAAUUGGAAGAAAAAUGGAGUUAUUUGGAGUUAAAUUGGACAUAUUGGCUAAUUAAUCGGGUGAUAGAUCGAAUUAGGCCAAUACCAUUUUAUUUAGGUACAUAAUUGAAUUUAUAUUGAACACCGUAUUUAGAUAGUUACCCGAGUAUUUCACAUCCCAUUUCAUGCAUUAGUAUAAAGCCUGAAUUGGUUUUACAACGAUUUAUCACAAAUGUAGUAAAUGGCUUAUUGUGCAUUAUGUCUAGGUGGUGAACUUUCUGGCAAAAGUAAAGAGAUAGUACUCGAGGAUCAAGAAUCGAAGUACUUGGAAUUCGAUUCCCAUUACAGUGAGUAACCUUGUUAUCGUCUUAAUUAUCUAAAGUAGUUUUUAUUAGUUUUUGUGAUUUGAUAAAAAAAUGAGUUUAAAUGGUAAAUCUUUAUGUUUUAUAAGUAAAAUGUGAAUAAAUGAAAUGAUUUUAUAAAUUGUCUUGAAAUUGAAAGAUGGUUUUGAAAAUGGAGUAAUUGGAGACUAAUUGUUGUGUUAUAAAUCAUGGUUUGAAUUGAAUGGCUUAUGAUAAUAUUUGCAUGAAUGGCUGAAUUGGUAUUUGUGUUGAAAAUGUAUGAACUGUUAAUUUGCCUUGAGAGGCUGUAAAAUAAAAUAAUUGCCAUGUCGUGUUAUCGCAAAUUUUAUUGUAUGGUGCGUUAUAAAUUGGUCGCUGCAGUGGACGGGUUCCGUGGACCAGCCUAUUAGAGGGGCACGGUAACCCUAUUAUAUUCAUACCUCAGUAUGAGAGGUGCAGUUGGAUAACUUUUGAGGUUAAAACUUUAGAGUUCACUUCACGCCAAACCACCACGUGAGGGUGAACUCAGCCAACGCCAAGGAACGAUUAUGUUUUCAAAAUAAAAAACAUGAUUUAUGCAUACAUGACUUUUUAACAGCCUUGGCGUACUCGGUUGGGAUAGCUCUCGGUUAAGGUAUCCUUGAUAACUGAGUAUGAGAAUGAUUUUGGCACGAGCCAAAGUUUUAAGAAAUUCAUAAGCCAUGUUGAUUACUCAAUUUAUAUGAAUUGAUUUUAUUUGGUUGAAAUGAGUUGAAAGGUGAUGAAUUACAAUAUGUUAAACUAUUUUAUUUGUCUCAAUUUACUCAGCUUUAGAUAUUUUAGAUGAUAUUUGUUUACUCACUGGGAUUAUAUAAUCUCACCACCCUCCUUUCCACCCAUUUUAGGCUCAGGAUAGUCGGUAAAUAGCUCAUUUCGUUGAGGGCUACAAUUGGACUUGCAUCCUCAAAAACUGUAGGUUUACCGCUUUUGAUACUUUUGGUCGUUCGUGGGCCCACGUGUCACUGUAAAUUAAAUCUUAUGCUUUGGUUAUCUGUAUUACAGUAUGUAUGAAUUUAUUUAGUUUUUACGCUAGAAAAAUUAUUUACUGAUAACUC